GAAGAUGAGGGCGCUCUGGAUUUGUCACUGUCACCCUGUUAUCUCCAGGUUUGAUUUGGUUGUUCAUGAGGAGGUUGGCUAGGCUUCUUUCCUCCUCAGUACUUCAAGCAUGUCUCUCCUAAAGCCUCUCACUUAGUACAGUAACCAAUGCCAAAGUGUUCCCAGGGCAUUGUAUCAAUAGACCUCUCCACCAGGAACAUAUAUACCUGUCUCUCUAGAGCUCCUAAAAACUAUUGUGACAAGCAUUUUCAAAGUUGAUUUUAAGAAU
rnacentral:sRNA from 1 species